CCGCUCAGUCAGUAGAGUGUGAGAUUCUUAAUCUCAGGGUUGUGGGUUCGAGCCCCAUAUCGGGUGGA